UACGUAGGGGGCAAGCGUUGUUCGGAAUUACUGGGCGUAAAGGGCUCGUAGGUGGCCAACUAAGUCAGACGUGAAAUCCCUCGGCUUAACCGGGGAACUGCGUCUGAUACUGGAUGGCUUGAGUUUGGGAGAGGGACGCGGAAUUCCAGGUGUAGCGGUGAAAUGCGUAGAUAUCUGGAGGAACACCGGUGGCGAAGGCGGCGUCCUGGACCAACACUGACACUGAGGAGCGAAAGCCAGGGGAGCGAACAGG
rnacentral:rRNA from 1 species